rnacentral:lncRNA from 1 species
AGUAGACUUUGUUUUAGCUACUUUCAAGAAUGACAUGUCAAACCCCAAAAUCUCACUGGAAGUAGUGACACUCUCACAAAUAAAUUAAUCCCAAUAAAAAUAGUCACUCCAAUGAAUGGUAAUUGAGAGAGAAAAUAAUAAAGAAGUGAUAUCACAUGCUCUCACCAAGAUGAAAUAAAUAUGCCCUCAGCUUAGAAAUAAUACGAUCUCAAGUCAAAUAAAAUGUUAGUCAACCCACUUUAUUU